UGAACGCUGGCGGUAGGCCUAACACAUGCAAGUCGAACGGCAGCAUAGUAAGAGCUUGCUCUUACGGGUGGCGAGUGGCGGACGGGUGAGGAAUACAUCGGAAUCUACUUUUUCGUGGGGGAUAACGUAGGGAAACUUACGCUAAUACCGCAUACGACCUACGGGUGAAAGCAGGGGAUCUUCGGACCUUGCGCGAUUGAAUGAGCCGAUGUCGGAUUAGCUAGUUGGCGGGGUAAAGGCCCACCAAGGCGACGAUCCGUAGCUGGUCUGAGAGGAUGAUCAGCCACACUGGAACUGAGACACGGUCCAGACUCCUACGGGAGGCAGCAGUGGGGAAUAUUGGACAAUGGGCGCAAGCCUGAUCCAGCCAUACCGCGUGGGUGAAGAAGGCCUUCGGGUUGUAAAGCCCUUUUGUUGGGAAAGAAAAGCAGCAGGUUAAUACCCCGCUGUUCUGACGGUACCCAAAGAAUAAGCACCGGCUAACUUCGU
rnacentral:rRNA from 1 species